rnacentral:rRNA from 1 species
UACGGAGGAUCCAAGCGUUAUCCGGAAUUACUGGGCGUAAAGAGUUGCGUAGGUGGCAGAGUAAGUCUGUAGUGAAAGCGUCCCGCUCAACGGGAUAAACAUUAUGGAAACUGCUCGGCUAGAGGAUGAGAGAGGUUAUUGGAAUUCCCAGUGUAGGAGUGAAAUCCGUAGAUAUUGGGAGGAACACCGAUGGCGUAGGCAGAUAACUGGCUCAUUCCUGACACUAAGGCACGAAAGCGUGGGGAGCAAACGGG